UUUUGCGUCAACUUUCUCAUUCUCUCUAUAGUUUUUAUUUUAGCCUCACUUACUGGCCUAAGCUACUUCUCUCCCAAGGUGUGCUGAUGUUUCAUAUCACAUAUUCCAUAGUUUUAAAUAUGCUCCGUGUGUCAUGAACAGUCAGUGGGAAUAAGGUAUUUAUUUGUGUGAGAACUGUUUGGCCUAGUGUUAAAAUCAUGGAAGUUAUUUCAUCCUGUUUGUCAGAGGAGGAGACAGCCUGGUCCUUGUUAUGAUGGACUUGGUUCCAAGAUCCUCCAUUUACUUGCAAGGCAACAGGAGGCUGUCUGGGGUUUUCUUUUGACAGUUCAUCUGUGUAGGCCUGAGUUUUUCUUCUCCUUAGGACCAUGGGACCACAUUUACAUCCCCAAGAAACUGAGCUAGGUGGUUCUAGGAAACCAUGAGCAUUGUUUUAGGAAACCAUGACACCGUAGGACAUUUGUCCUGUUGACAAUAUUAUUUCAUAUCUGUCAUCAUGACUCUCCCAAAACAAGUAUGUCUUUGAGAUUUGAUCUUAUGUUAUUUAUAAGGGUGACAGAGAUCAAGGCAAGGCCACGUUUCCUGUAGUGUUUCUCACCUGUUCAGCAGUCAGACAUGAGGAAAUGCGCAGCAGAGUGCUUGCAUAGUGUUCACCCUGAUGUUCCAGCUGCGAUGCCUUGCAGAAAAAAUGUGUGUGGGUGUCGAAGGUGAGGGUUGGAUAGUAGAAGUUAUAGCUGUAACCUUGAGAGAAGCUGUGGUCAACUCAGUGUUGUCUGGGACAGUUGUUUUUGUAAAAUCAGUUUAACAGUUAAAAAAUAUAGAAAAGUUUUACCUGUUUUUUUAAAACCUGUGCUCAUGUGCAUUAACUAAACUUGUUAUGAUUACGGUCUAAUUAAUUUCCAUGCAUGCACACACUCAGAAAAAGGGCAGAAGAUUGUGUGCUAUUCUUUUUCUCCAAAUAACUUAAGAAUUAGAUUUAAGUUCAUUC
rnacentral:lncRNA from 1 species